rnacentral:rRNA from 1 species
UACGAAGGGGGGCUAGCGUUGCUCGGAAUCACUGGGCGUAAAGGGUGCGUAGGCGGGUCUUUAAGUCAGGGGUGAAAUCCUGGAGCUCAACUCCAGAACUGCCUUUGAUACUGAGGAUCUUGAGUACGGGAGAGGUGAGUGGAACUGCGAGUGUAGAGGUGAAAUUCGUAGAUAUUCGCAAGAACACCAGUGGCGAAGGCGGCUCACUGGCCCGUAACUGACGCUGAGGUGCGAAAGCGUGGGGAGCAAACAGG